rnacentral:rRNA from 1 species
GAUGAACGCUAGCUACAGGCUUAACACAUGCAAGUCGAGGGGCAUCAUGCGGAUUGCUUGCGAUCCGUGAUGGCGACCGGCGCACGGGUGAGUAACGCGUAUCCAACCUUCCCGCUGCAGGGGGAUAACCCGGUGAAAGCCGGACUAAUACCCCAUAAUCCCCGUUGACGGCAUCCGAUUCGGGGCAAAGUUUUUUUUCGGCAGCGGAUGGGGAUGCGUCCGAUUAGUUGGUUGGUGAGGUAACGGCUCACCAAGGCUUUGAUCGGUAGGGGUUCUGAGAGGAAGGCCCCCCACAUUGGGACUGAGACACGGCCCAAACUCCUACGGGAGGCAGCAGUGAGGAAUAUUGGUCAAUGGGCGCAAGCCUGAACCAGCCAAGUAGCGUGGAGGACGACUGCCCUAUGGGUUGUAAACUCCUUUUAUGCGGGGAUAAAAUGUUUCACGUGUGAGAUAUUGCAGUACCGCA